UUCAUCCUCACAAUCAAGCUGAAGACUUCUACAUCAAGUAACGCAUGAUAUUUAACCAAAACUCGUCAGUUUUAUAUUAAUUGGCUACUUUAUUCCAGACCUUAUUCUUGAAGUAUUUUCUUACUUCAGAGGAGACACAUCUCAGUGGUCGCUUCAGCUAAAACAGCACUAUUUGAGAUUUCAUCUUCUUGCCCAUUAAAGAACUGUUUGGCGCCUUGUUGUGUGUGAUUUACUUUCCAAACCUGGAAGUGCUGCGCGUACCACGGCACACACGCACAGGUGGAGGAGCUGGUGUGAAGAGCCGUGGGAAGGCAGGUCCGACACUCCUGGCGGGGAGAUGGACACGGUGCUCGUGGGUGUUGGAUGUUCUCGAAGCCCGGGAGGAAGCCGCUGAGCAGUGAAUAGGAACCACGUGUCCUCCCUGAGAAACGCCACAUCAUGUUGCCUUCUCACAUGUGCUUACGGGUGGCAGCUUGGUGUUGGAACACAGAAACCUCUCUCCCUCGCGUGCCAAGAUUUGAGGUGAUGGUCCCCAGGCCAGCGUGGCUCCCCUGCAAAGUAUCAGCACCCAGGACAACUCUACAAAGGUUCGAGAGCAGCUUGCCGUCCUCAUCUGCUGGUGGAGGCCGCUUCUGGGCAUGAAGAAGUCGGCUCAGUUUCCCUGAUGUGCCCUCGGGGUGAGGUCACCUGGGACCCCAGCGGCUACUCACCCGAGCACCGUUUUCUUCGGUCGCUACCGCACCCAUCUCGACCUCAGCGCACUGAGAAGCACUGCCACAGGAGCAGAAGAACAUGGGCGGUUCUGUUACUGUUGGGCUAUUGUAUCAGGGUAUUGAAAACUGAAAUUAAACCUUAUAAAAUA